AUAUUUAAUUCGAACUUACUCAAAACAAUUCGAAAUAAAAUAUCCAUCAUAUAUAUAUAAGAACCGCGUAAAGCGGUAGAGAUUCAAAGCCACCAACGGCCAGUCCCGGUAAACGAUAAAACGACCAAAACAGGCCCAUACAAUCUCUCGAAAUAAAGGCCACAUUCGGCCACAAACGUAGAACAGAUAAACAAACACCUCUCUCUCAAUGAUCACUCCACCUCUCAAGGUCCAAAGUAAAAGUCCCCGGACAACGAAGCUCCAAACGAAUCCGCAGGACGAUCUACUUCCUCGCCAUCAUCGGGAAACUCGGUCGCGACCUCUUUAGUAUCAGGGGAAACCAGGAUGGAUCCCAGAAUCCCUGAUCCUCCCGUCGAUCGAGGGAAUGAGCGCCUCAGCGUGAGCAUGUUCGUUCAUGCCGCCCUUCAUCAAACGCAUUUCCUUCUCGAAAAUGUAGUCGUCGGCUCGCGUUUUCCAAAGACUUCCGACUGAACCACGGCACU
rnacentral:lncRNA from 1 species